rnacentral:rRNA from 1 species
UACAGAGACUGCAAGCGUUAUUCGGAUUCACUGGGCGUAAAGGGUGCGCAGGCGGCCAGGUGUGUCAGGUGUGAAAGCCCGGAGCUUAACUCCGGAAUUGCGCCUGAAACUACUUGGCUAGAGCAUUGGAGAGGGUAGCGGAAUUCACGGUGUAGCAGUGAAAUGCGUAGAUAUCGUGAGGAACACCAGAGGCGAAGGCGGCUACCUGGACAAUUGCUGACGCUCAGGCACGAAAGCGUGGGGAGCAAACAGG